GGUAUCCUAACCGUGCGAAGGUAGCGUAAUCACUUGUCCUUUAAAUAAGGACUAGUAUGAACGGCUUCACGAAGGCUAUACUGUCUCCUUAGUCUAAUCAAUUAAACUAAUCUCCCCGUGAAGAAGCGGGGAUUCAUUUAUAAGACGAGAAGACCCUAUGGAGCUUUAAACAUCUAAGACACUUGAUUACACCUACUAAACUUCAUGCAACCUAUCAUUUUGUCUUAAGUUUUAGGUUGGGGUGACCACGGAGAAAAAUUGAACCUCCACGUAGAAAGAAAAUUCUUUUCUAAGCAAAAAGCCACAUCUUAACGCAUCAAUAUAUUGACUUAAAUUGACCCAAUUUCUUGCUCAACGAACCAAGUUACCCUAGGGAUAACAGCGCAAUCCGCUUUAAGAGCUCCUAUCGACAAGCGGGCUUACGACCUCGAUGUUGGAUCAGGGUAUCCUAAUGGG
rnacentral:rRNA from 1 species